CUGUAUGGCCACACCACGCUGGUCUUGUCUGAUCUCAGAAGCUAAGCAGUGUUGGGCCUGCUUACUUCUUGCAAGGAAGGAUGCUAAACUUU
ensembl:rRNA 5S_rRNA 5S ribosomal RNA